rnacentral:rRNA from 1 species
UGGGGAAUUUUGCACAAUGGGGGAAACCCUGAUGCAGCGACGCCGCGUGAUUUAGAAGGCCUUCGGGUUGUAAAAAUCUUUUCUAUGGGAAGAAAAUGACAGUACCAUAGGAAUAAGGACCGGCUAAUUACGUGCCAGCAGCCGCGGUAAUACGUAAGGUCCGAGCGUUGUCCGGAAUCAUUGGGCGUAAAGGGUACGUAGGCGGGUAAGCAAGUUAGAAGUGAAAUCCUGUAGCUCAACUACAGUAAGCUUUUAAAACUGCUCAUCUUGAGAUAUGGAAGGGAAAGUGGAAUUCCUAGUGUAGCGGUGAAAUGCGCAGAUAUUAGGAGGAAUACCGGUGGCGAAGGCGACUUUCUGGCCAUAUACUGACGCUGAGGUACGAAAGCGUGGGUAGCAAACAGG